rnacentral:rRNA from 1 species
AUUGAACGCUGGCGGCAGGCCUAACACAUGCAAGUCGAGCGGAUGAAGGGAGCUUGCUCCUGGAUUCAGCGGCGGACGGGUGAGUAAUGCCUAGGAAUCUGCCUGGUAGUGGGGGAUAACGUCCGGAAACGGGCGCUAAUACCGCAUACGUCCUGAGGGAGAAAGUGGGGGAUCUUCGGACCUCACGCUAUCAGAUGAGCCUAGGUCGGAUUAGCUAGUUGGUGGGGUAAAGGCCUACCAAGGCGGCGAUCCGUAACUGGUCUGAGAGGAUGAUCAGUCACACGGGAACUGAGACGGCGACCAGACGACUAAGGGAGGCAGCAGUGGGGAAUAUGGGACAAUAGGCGAAAGUCUGAUCCAGCCAGGCCGCGUGUGUGAAGAAGGUCUUCGGAUUGUAAAGCCCUUUAAGUUGGGAGGAAGGGCAGUAAGCUAAUACCUUGCUGUUUUGACGGUACCAACAGAAGAAGCACCGGCUAACUACGUG